UACGGGGGGGGCAAGCGUUGUUCGGAAUUACUGGGCGUAAAGGGCUCGUAGGCGGCCAACUAAGUCGGACGUGAAAUCCCUCGGCUUAACCGGGGAACUGCGUCCGAUACUGGAUGGCUUGAGUUCGGGAGAGGGAUGCGGAAUUCCAGGUGUAGCGGUGAAAUGCGUAGAUAUCGCUUGGAACGCCAAAGGUGAAAACAGGUUGCUGGGGUUGUGCCGACGCUGAGACACGAAAGCCAGGGGAGCAAACGGG
rnacentral:rRNA from 1 species